UGUUGCAUCUUGUGUCUAUAAAAUGAGCUGCUCUUAAUGCGUAGAUAAAUCCUUUCUACUGCAUUUAAAAAAAAGAUAUACUGUUAGCCAUGGAGAACUGCAAAUAUGUUGCUACUGCUCUCAAUAACAUUGUUGCCCUGAAUUUAUCAGGCAUUAUUGACAAAGGUCACUGAAAAAGUUGUGAUGGACUACUUUCUGGACGACGAAUGCUGACUCUCUCUCACUCUGAAAAUAACAUGUUUUGAAAUCAGUGGAACACAACGGGCCAAACAAGUUGUGCAAACUAAACGGAAACAACACAGGAUGUCUUAUAAAAGGGGUUGCAGUCUGCCGUAAAGCUUUCAUCCAUCAUCAAUCACUCAUCAUCAUAAUCCACCAGUCAUACAGUCAUCAAAAAGAAAGCUAGCACAAGCAAGCAAAGGCAGCAGCGCAGUCAUCAACUACAUGCACCAUUUCCUCACCAACUACGGAGUUGGGAAUAUUCGUGUGGACCUGUUUUGUGAUAACUGCAGUGGCCAAAACAAGAACAGGUUUGUGCCUGGUGGACCAUGCCCAAGCUCCACUACAAUCUGGACCUUCACUUCCUGAUCACAGGCCAGACCAAGUUUUCCCCCGACUGCUGCUUCGGCCUCAUCAAGCAGCGCUUCAGAAAGACCAGAGGAAAACACGUUAUCUGAGAUUGCUGAUGUUGUGAAGGACAGCACUGUGAUAGAGGUCAACAUCACACAGCUGGUUGGACUGGAGGAUGGUACGGUGCUGGUGGAAAGCUAUGGCUGGCAACAACACCUGACUCUGUACUUCAGGCCGCUGCCACAGAUCAAGCAGUACCAGCACUUCAGCUUCAAUGCUCUGGAGCCUGGUGUCGUUGCCAGGGAGCGUUCGGACUGUCGGGACCAGGUUUCAGCUGCUGCGCAACGCUAACAUCCUUCCUCCCAUAAAUGAUUUGCCCUUAAAAGCACCACCUGGAAUGGACACAGCUAGACAAACUAUAUUUUUGACAAGAUCAGGGAGUUUUCCGAUGAAGAGGCUAUGGACAUCACAUGCCCUGCACCAAAGUCAAGGACAGGACAGAAACAGGCUCUCCGAAUAGAUUCCCUUGUUCAUGCGUGGUUUGGACGGACCAGUCAUCAGCACUAUCUGCAGUGUCUCUAUUCACAUGACUCUCUCCUAAACACACACACCAUAAGUUGCUGCUACUAUUUUUUUGUUUAUCUCACUGCUCAGCCACUUUACCCUGAAUUGCAUGCAUAUAACUAUCUCAUCUAUCACUGAUAUCAUUAUUGAUAUUGUUCUUGUACAUACUGUAUAUUUUAUUUAUAUGGACACUAUCUUUUUCUGAUAUUGCUACAAUGCAAGUAACCAUUUGGCUGUACCUUUUACACCUUCUGAAGAGACCAUCCAGUUAGCAAGACUGAGCAAAAUAUUGAUAGAUAAAAUUAAUAUUGAUGUGUGGUCGUAUCAAUUUGCAGUGUAUAAAUUUGUAAUUAUGUUCUGG